rnacentral:rRNA from 1 species
GUGGGGAAUAUUGGACAAUGGGCGAAAGCCUGAUCCAGCCAUGCCGCGUGUGUGAAGAAGGUCUUCGGAUUGUAAAGCACUUUAAGUUGGGAGGAAGGGUAGUAACCUAAUACGUUGCUACUUUGACGUUACCGACAGAAUAAGCACCGGCUAACUUCGUGCCAGCAGCCGCGGUAAUACGAAGGGUGCAAGCGUUAAUCGGAAUUACUGGGCGUAAAGCGCGCGUAGGUGGUUCAGUAAGUUGGAAGUGAAAUCCCCGGGCUCAACCUGGGAACUGCUUUCAAAACUGCUGAGCUAGAGUACGGUAGAGGGUGGUGGAAUUUCCUGUGUAGCGGUGAAAUGCGUAGAUAUAGGAAGGAACACCAGUGGCGAAGGCGACCACCUGGACUGAUACUGACACUGAGGUGCGAAAGCGUGGGGAGCAAACAGGAUUAGAUACCCGUGUAGUCC